rnacentral:rRNA from 1 species
UACAGAGGUCCCAAGCGUUGUUCGGAUUCACUGGGCGUAAAGGGUGCGUAGGUGGUGAGGUAAGUCGGAUGUGAAAUCUCCGAGCUCAACUCGGAAAUGGCAUUGGAAACUACCUUGCUUGAGGGUUGGAGGGGGGACUGGAAUACUUGGUGUAGCAGUGAAAUGCGUAGAUAUCAAGUGGAACACCAGUGGCGAAGGCGAGUCCCUGGACAACUCCUGACGCUGAGGCACGAAGGUCAGGGGAGCAAACGGGG